rnacentral:rRNA from 1 species
GAUGAACGCUGGCGGCGUGCCUAAUACAUGCAAGUCGAGCGAACAGACGAGAGUGCUUGCACUCUCUGACGUUAGCGGCGGACGGGUGAGUCACACGUGGGUAACCUACCUAUCAGACUGGGAUAACUUCGGGAAACCGGAGCUAAUACCGGAUAAUAUUUAGCUUCGCAUGAAGCAAUAGUGAAAGACGGUUCUGCUGUCACUUAUAGAUGGACCCGCGGUGUAUUAGCUAGUUGGUGAGGUAACGGCUCACCAAGGCAACGAUACAUAGCCGACCUGAGAGGGUGAUCGGCCACACUGGGACUGAGACACGGCCCAGACUCCUACGGGAGGCAGCAGUAGGGAAUCUUCCGCAAUGGACGAAAGUCUGACGGAGCAAUGCCGCGUGAGUGAAGAAGGUGUUCGGAUCGUAAAACUCUGUUGUAAGGGAAGAACAAGUACGUUAGUAACUGAACGUACCUUGACGGUACCUUACCAGAAAGCCACGGCUAACUACGUG